AUUGAUUUUUCUUUAAUUGUAUUUGUUUAACGAUCGUUAUGUCAAAAUAAUUAAGCUGACAAUAUGCCUUCUUCCCAUAUCUGUCUCUCCGCAUAAAAAGUAGAAUCAUUGUUUAUAACAUAUCAGCCACACGGCCUUCUGGGAGUGAAUGUUUUCAGCUGCGUUGGUUUCAACGCAAGCAAAAAUCUGGACUGGUCUCGACAUUCAAUGUAUAAACAGUCAGGCUUUGAACCAAUACGAGUGACCUGCUCGAUGUUAAGAGGCAAGGAUCUCCUCUGUUGGCUAUGAAUGUGUAAAGCAUAUUUUAGAUUGUAGUGGAGAGACAAAUAUGGGAAGAAGGCAUAUUACCUGCUUAGUUUGUUGUAUUGUCCACAAGAACGUUAAUGUUUAUUUUGCAUUAUUUAUUUCAGAACUAUGCUUAGAGAGUUUGAACUCGCUGGCAGCUUACAAGCUAAUUUGUAUGCAGAAUGGGGAUAUUAAGCCAACAGAUGUUGGCAGAUUGAUGGCUUCCUACUACAUCGCAUUUGAUACCAUAAAGCUGUUUGGCACAUUACAGGGCUCUGAAGCCAUGCAAGACCUGGUGACUUAUCUCAAGCUGUCGAGAGUAUAAAUACAUCGCACUCCGCGUUAAUGAAAAGAAAACCCUGAACACAUUUAACAUGGCCAAAAAUCACACAAUACGUCUUAUUCAACCUCAGCUGGGAUGUGUACUUCUUGCAAGAUUUUGCAUUGAUACAGGACAUCGCCAAAAUCUUCAGGACUGGAAUCCGACUUACAAAAUGUCUUGCCGAAUUUUUGCAGCAAAAGGAUAAGCAGAAUAAUUUUCAGGCUGUGCUAAAUGCAGUCCACCUCGCUAAAUGUUUUCGUGCAAAACUUUGGAAAAAUUCACCUGUUUUCAAACAACUUGAAAAAAAUCGAUAGUGAACAGACACCCUCCAUUUGGGAACCAGAUAAAAGAAGCCGUGCAGCAUCUGCCCAAGUACCAAGUCAGAGUGGAGCAGGGUAACAAGUACUACAAAGGUGUGGCUGAGGUGAUAAUUACAGUGAUACUAAAGAACUGUGCGGACCUGCAGUCCCACCGCACAGCUCCAGACAACCACUGCUGCACGCUACUACUGGGCAAUGCCGACAACAACCUCGUCUAUCGGGCUCGUCCGCCCUUAGCCCCGCCCACCUUCCAGGCUCCUCGAAGGCUCCCGAGGGCUCUCCGGGACCACGUGACCGCCCCUCGGCCCCCGUCCACCGGUGGCCCCCCUCCAGUAUCGUCCGGUCACGUGACAACAGGUCAGCCAGAGUAUCAUGCCCCAGAGUAACCCUGGCUGGCUGACGCUCGCUCUCGCUCCCCCACUGGGAACCGGCACCGCACGCUGCUCGCGGUGCCUUCGCGCUCACCAGCACUCACCCAAUCACCGGUAGUACUGCAGCCCGCAACCCGGGCUGCCCGCAAUGACAACAUCACCAGCCGUGACAUCGCAAGUCCCGGCACCAUACAGUGACAAGUACAGUCACUACACAAUAUUAAAAUUUAAAAUGCACUUGUUACUGGUAAAAUUAAUAAUAAUCACUUGUUUUUGAUAGGGCCUUUUACUCUGGGGUGUCUAUGAGCGCUUUAUGCGCAAUAAGCGACUUACAUCACGUCUCAAAUACAUUUAAAUGGGCACCCCCAGUUACAAAUGUCCCUGUGGAGACAAGAAGAUUUAGCACCUGGCCUGCAAUUGGGCGUGAGGUUGCAAGUAGGGGGAAAUGGUUGCUGUGUGUAAUUCCAAUUGAGUAUUUUUUUGUCAACGAGUAGAACUGGUCUACUCGUUUUGAAUGUCAGAAAUCUUUAACGUCAGUGCAACAUAGUGCACAUAUUUCAUUAUGAAUAUACCUGCAGUAAUAGCAAGUUAUGGAAGCUACAUAUACAUCAAUAUGACCUUCACAGAGAUUACAUGCUGCUGAAAACAGGGAGUUGGUUGAAAAAGGUUUAAGUUAAAUUUUGAUUUAAAGCUUUCGUGACUGCAGUAAUUCAUA